rnacentral:rRNA from 1 species
GUGCCAGCAGCGGCGGUAAUACGUAGGUGGCAAGCGUUAUCCGGAAUUAUUGGGCGUAAAGCGCGCGUAGGCGGUUUCUUAAGUCUGAUGUGAAAGCCCACGGCUCAACCGUGGAGGGUCAUUGGAAACUGGGAGACUUGAGUGCAGAAGAGGAAAGUGGAAUUCCAUGUGUAGCGGUGAAAUGCGCAGAGAUAUGGAGGAACACCAGUGGCCGAAGGCGACUUUCUGGUCUGUAACUGACGCUGAUGUGCGAAAGCGUGGGGAUCAAACAGGAUUAGAUACCCUGGUAGUCCACGCCGUAAACG